GGAAAACUUACUAGGUCAAGACAUAGGAAGGAUUGACAGACUGAUAGCUCUUUCUUAAUUCUAUGGGUGGUGGUGCAUGGCCGUUCUUAGUUGGUGGAGUGAUUUGUCUGGUUAAUUCCGAUAACGAACGAGACUUUAACUUGCUAAAUAGACGUGAAAACUGAGGUUUUCAUUGUCUUCUUAGAAGGACUUCGUGUGUCUAAUACGAGGAAGCUUGAGGCAAUAA
rnacentral:rRNA from 1 species